GAUGAACGCUAGCGGGAGGCUUAACACAUGCAAGUCGAACGGUAACAGGCCUUCGGGCGCUGACGAGUGGCGGACGGGUGAGUAACGCGUAGGAAUCUGCCUUAUAGUGGGGGACAACGUGGGGAAACCCACGCUAAUACCGCAUACGCCCUACGGGGAAAGCGGGGAUCGCAAGACCUCGCGCUAUGAGAUGAGCCUGCGUUAGAUUAGCUAGUUGGUAGGGUAAAGGCCUACCAAGGCGACGAUCUAUAGCUGGUCUGAGAGGACGAUCAGCCACACUGGGACUGAGACACGGCCCAGACUCCUACGGGAGGCAG
rnacentral:rRNA from 1 species